ACCCGCGUACAUGCCACCGGGGCAUCCCGGAGGCAGGAAAGGCUUCGGCCGGACAGGGAUGGGCAUGCGGCGCAUUAGGCAGUAGGCGGGGUAACGGCCCACCUAACCGACGAUGCGUAGGGGUUCUGAGAGGAAGGUCCCCCACACUGGUACUGAGACACGGACCAGACUCCUACGGGAGGCAGCAGUGAGGAAUAUUGGUCAAUGGUCGGGAGACUGAACCAGCCAAGCCGCGUGAGGGAUGAAGGUACAGAGUAUCGUAAACCUCCUUUGUCAGGGAACAAAGGCGGGGACGUGUCCCCGGAUGAGUGUACCUGAAGAAAAAGCAUCGGCUAACUCCGUGCCAGCAGCCGCGGUAAUACGGAGGAUGCGAGCGUUAUCCGGAUUUAUUGGGUUUAAAGGGUGCGCAGGCGGUCUGUUAAGUCAGCGGUCAAAGCCCGGGGCUCAACCCCGGCCCGCCGUUGAAACUGGCAGUCUCGAGUUGGAGAGAAGUAUGCGGAAUGCGCGGUGUAGCGGUGAAAUGCAUAGAUAUCGCGCAGAACUCCGAUUGCGAAGGCAGCAUGCCGGCUCCACACUGACGCUGAGGCACGAAAGCGUGGGUAUCGAACAGGAUUAGAUACCCUGGUAGUCCACGCAGUAAACGAU
rnacentral:rRNA from 1 species